GACGAACGCUGGCGGCGUGCUUAACACAUGCGAGUCGAACGGAAAGGCCUCAGCUUGCUGGGGUACUCGAGUGGCGAACGGGUGAGUAACACGUGGGUGAUCUGCCUUGCACUCUGGGAUAAGCUUGGGAAACUGGGUCUAAUACCGGAUAUGAACUGCCUUUAGUGUGGUGGUUGGAAAGUUUUUUCGGUGCAAGAUGAGCUCGCGGCCUAUCAGCUUGUUGGUGGGGUAAUGGCCUACCAAGGCGUCGACGGGUAGCCGGCCUGAGAGGGUGUACGGCCACAUUGGGACUGAGAUACGGCCCAGACUCCUACGGGAGGCAGCAGUGGGGAAUAUUGCACAAGGGGCGGAAGCCUGAUGCAGCGACGCCGCGUGGGGGAGGACGGCCUUCGGGUUGUAAACUCCUUUCGACAGGGACGAAGCUUUUUGUGACGGUACCUGUAGAAGAAGCACCGGCUAACUACGUG
rnacentral:rRNA from 1 species